rnacentral:tRNA from 1 species
GGCUCUGUGGUGCAAUGGAUAGCGCAUUGGACUUCUAGGCUGUGAGCUGAGCCAUUCAAAGGUUGUGGGUUCGAGUCCCGCCAGAGUUG